UACGAAGGGGGCUAGCGUUGCUCGGAAUCACUGGGCGUAAAGCGCACGUAGGCGGACUCUUAAGUCGGUGGUGAAAUCCUGGAGCUCAACUCCAGAACUGCCUUCGAUACUGGGAGUCUUGAGUCCGGGAGAGGUGAGUGGAACUGCGAGUGUAGAGGUGAAAUUCGUAGAUAUUCGCAAGAACACCAGUGGCGAAGGCGGCUCACUGGUCCGGUACUGACGCUGAGGUGCGAAAAGCGUGGGGAGCAAACAGG
rnacentral:rRNA from 1 species